CUCACUUUCUGCACACUCAUUGUAUUUUAUAGUCAGGUCCAUAAGUAUUUGAACAGUGACACAUUUUUCAUAAUUUUGGCUCUGUCUGCCACCACAAUGGAUUUGAAAUGAAGAAAUCAUUACCUGAUGGAAGUGUAGAUUUUCAGAAUUAAUUUAAGAGGUUUAACAAAAACAUUAAAUGAACAUGGCGGAUGACCUCUCCAGGGAUCCGAGGAAUGACUGCGGGUGCAUGAAGGAUGACGGGAGGAAUGCCGACCUCGGAUGGUCUGGCUGUGCCGUGAGGGGGUCUGAGGAUGAUGAUCAUGGCUGCUGAGUCUCUGCCAGCUAAGGAGGUGGGCUGGGAUCACACUGGAAAGAUCUGAAGGAGCCAGUGACUGCAUUUUUAACCUCUGAUUUGAAUGGAUUUAUUUAUUGUGUUUUUAUCUCCCGCUAUUCACUUGUUUUUAUGGAUUAUUUAUUUAUGGAUAUGGACACUGUUUUUGGUUUUGUUUUGAUUCUUUUUAAUAAAAGCACUGAACAUUUUUAAUGCCGUCCCCUUGCUCCUUGUGUGAUUUGUCCCCAUCUGUCAGCUCAUUCAGUCA